UCGUAACAAGGUUUCCGUAGGUGAACCUGCGGAAGGAUCAUUACUGUGAUUUACUACUACACUGCGUGAGCGGAACGAAAACAACAACACCUAAAAUGUGGAAUAUAGCAUAUAGUCGACAAGAGAAAUCUACGAAAAAACAAACAAAACUUUCAACAACGGAUCUCUUGGUUCUCGCAUCGAUGAAGAGCGCAGCGAAAUGCGAUACCUAGUGUGAAUUGCAGCCAUCGUGAAUCAUCGAGUUCUUGAACGCACAUUGCGCCCCUCGGCAUUCCGGGGGGCAUGCCUGUUUGAGCGUCGUUUCCAUCUUGCGCGUGCGCAGAGUUGGGGGAGCGGAGCGGACGACGUGUAAAGAGCGUCGGAGCUGCGACUCGCCUGAAAGGGAGCGAAGCUGGCCGAGCGAACUAGACUUUUUUUCAGGGACGCUUGGCGGCCGAGAGCGAGUGUUGCGAGACAACAAAAAGCUCGACCUCAAAUCAGGUAGGAAUACCCGCUGAACUUAAGCAUAU
rnacentral:misc_RNA from 1 species